UGACUUUGGUCAAAAUCAAACUGCUUUAAGUUUGACCAAGUUUAUAGGAAAAAAAGUAAUAUUUUUGACCCAGAUAAAUUUAUUAUAAAAAUAUAUUUAAUUAUUAAUUUAAUAAAACUAAUUUGGUAAUGCAAAUAUUACUAUAUUUGUCUAUAAACUUAGUCAAACUUGAAGCAGUUUGACUUUGACCAAAGUAAA
rnacentral:pre_miRNA from 1 species